GGAGAGAUGGCAGAGUCUGGCUAAAUGCACUGGUCUCGAAAACCAGCAAGGGUUCAAACCCUUCGGGGGUUCAAAUCCCUCUCUCUCCG
rnacentral:tRNA from 1 species